rnacentral:rRNA from 1 species
GUAGGUGGCAAGCGUUAUCCGGAAUUAUUGGGCGUAAAGCGCGCGCAGGCGGUCCUUUAAGUCUGAUGUGAAAGCCCACGGCUCAACCGUGGAGGGUCACUGGAAACUGGGGGACUUGAGUGCAGAAGAGGAGAGCGGAAUUCCACGUGUAGCGGUGAAAUGCGUAGAGAUGUGGAGGAACACCAGUGGCGAAGGCGGCUCUCUGGUCUGUAACUGACGCUGAGGCGCGAAAGCGUGGGGAGCGAACAGGAUUAGAUACCCUGGUAGUCCACGCCGUAAACGAUGAGUGCUAAGUGUUAGAGGGUUUCCGCCCUUUAGUGCUGAAGUCAACGCAUUAAGCACUCCGCCUGGGGAGUACGGUCGCAAGACUGAAACUCAAAGGAAUUGACGGGGGCCCGCACAAGCGGUGGAGCAUGUGGUUUAAUUCGAAGCAACGCGAAGAACCUUACCAGGUCUUGACAUCCUCUGACACUCCUAGAGAUAGGACGUUCCCUUCGGGGACAGAGUGACAGGUGGUGCAUGGUUGUCGUCAGCUCGUGUCGUGAGAUGUUGGGUUAAGUCCCGCAACGAGCGCAACCCUUGAUCUUAGUUGCCAGCAUUCAGUUGGGCACUCUAAGGUGACUGCCGGUGACAAACCGGAGGAAGGUGGGGAUGACGUCAAAUCAUCAUGCCCCUUAUGACCUGGGCUACACACGUGCUACAAUGGAUGGUACAAAGGGCAGCGAAACCGCGAGGUUAAGCCAAUCCCAUAAAACCAUUCUCAGUUCGGAUUGCAGGCUGCAACUCGCCUGCAUGAAGCCGGAAUCGCUAGUAAUCGCGGAUCAGCAUGCCGCGGUGAAUAUGUUCCCGGGCCUUGUACACACCGCCCGUCACACCACGAGAGUUUGUAACACCCGAAGUCGGUGGGGUAACCGUAAGGAGCCAGCCGCCUAAGGUGGGACAGAUGAUUGGGGUG